rnacentral:ncRNA from 1 species
CAGAGUAGCAAAAUCGCGUUAAGUGCUUUAUCAUAGGAAGAUGGUAUUGACGAACACAAUUUGUGGCGGUGGUUUUGUGCAUCCGCUGU